CAAUACGCCAUUUGUGUUCUCUUCAUAAUUAACGGAGGGAGUAUUUCUAAAGGACUCUCAUUUCCUUAUGUAUGAAAAUGCAGACUUGCUUUCAAGAUACCUGACUAGGAUCUCUUGCUAAUGAGUUCACGUCUGCCAGCUGCCCCCUCUCCGAAAUCUCGCUUCUGCUGCGCCGGGGUACAACGGGAGGCCGGCAGUAUUGAUGACCGCCCAGGGAAGCGAUAGACUGAUGCAAGACACAUGAUAUGCUGUAUUCUUUUCCUUUUCGUCAACUGAUAACUCUUCCGGAUAAUUAUACACUCAACGGGAGCAAAGCAACCCAAAAUGGAGGUACAUGGGCAACACUCACUUCGCUGCUGCUCUGCCUCUGCAUCCUCUUCGACUUUCAAUAGGAGGAUCAUGUGCUGCUUGUCUGCUUCCACAUUGAGCCAGGAGGUUAAGAAGAUAAGAUAUGUAACAUGUAUGAGGUAUGCAUGAAACUUUUACAUUCAUUCUUCUACUUUGAUUUGGUGUAUGACCUGUCUUGAAGCAUGGUGGCAUUGUUGCCGGCCAACAGAGUGGUCGAUUGUGUAUGUAGGUCCCCGUGUUUAUUUCUACAAAUAAAAAUGAUCCAAAUGAAAUGGAGUAUGCAAUCACAAAAACUACAAUAAAUAAUGCACAAAACUAUUGAUCUCACUACGUAGUGUUCCUGAUCUUGAUCUCUCUUGUGUAUGACCCUUUCUUGGCGUCGUUCUUUCAUUUAAAAUAAACUUGCAACUUUCUCAUUCAAGGUGAUUUUUGAAAAAAAACUUCCGCGUGAUAUACCAUGAUUGGUCCUGGA